CAGAAAAGGAGCGAACAAGACUGCUGUCGGAUGGGUGCAGCUCCUGGGUCCAUACCUCGGUGCUUGGGCCAAUGCGCCGGCCAUGUCAUGGGCCGCUAGGGAGCCGUUUGAUCUUCAGGAAUUUCAGCAGUACUUGCGGCCGUACAUGCCUAGGACACGCCUUCGGCUGAGCCAGGCGUGUGACCCAGUUGAGAUGGCUCCCUCGACACAGUGGGACACGUACCCUCGCCACUCCACUUCAGGCACUCGGCAUCACGCAGCCGUGUUGACGGCGGAGCUGCAAGAUGAGGCCGCCCAGUAUGAACGCUCGCUCUCCGUCGGCCCACUUCUUGGACGGUAUGAGCACCACGCCUCCUUCGCACAGCGUUUUCAGGAGAAACUACGUCGUAUCUACGCGAGUAUCACAUGCACCCGAUCUUCGGAUGUUGUCGAGUACCGAGCAGCACAGCGGCCACCUCGUCCCUCUUUGCAGAUGCAUCAGCCGCGACACGGCCCGCGCCCACGUAUGGAGGUACCGCCGAGCCCGAGGCCACCAUCUCCUAACCAGGCAGGAGGAUCUGGUUGGCAAAACCAGCAGCAGUAGGAGCCUACUUACGAGUACUGGCAGCGUGGCGGUUUCGGCAUGGAGCAGCAAACUCUGAUGCCUAACUUGGGGUGGCGUCCCCGUAUGGAUCAGCCAGAGGGUGAUACACAUAUGUCGUCUAUGUCCGGAUCACGAUCCUUCUGGUCCAGUGCUCACGAUCAGGAAGAAGAAACACAGCAGAUGUACCAAGACUGGAUGUCUAGUCAACAUCACACUCCACCCCCAGAUCCCACACAGCCCACGCAGUACAGUCAGCACGAGCAGGGGUACAUGCUUCCUCCCCGACAGCGGCAGCCACCUAUCAGAGGGUACUCGCCCUCACCUUUUUAGGCUGGACCGCCACCACCGAGGCGUCGAGGGAGGGGCCGUGGUCAGUGAGAUGACACUCACUGAGUCAUCUGUAUGGAUGAGACUUAUUACUACUACUAUUUCCUUCAUCUAGUGUAUGAGUACUAUUUGUA